GAACCUGCGGAAGGAUCAUUAGAAGGGCCUGUACUAUGCUUCUUUGCAAGCUUAGAUUUACAAUUCCAAACCCCUCUCCGUGUACCUUUCCUGUUGCUUCCGUGGGGUCACGGGCUGUUCGUGUUGGGUAGCCUUAACCUGUACUCACAGUAUUUUGGUUAGGGUUUCCUGCGGAGGCAGUCCUAGUUGGUCAUCUGCAGUGAACCUGGAGUGGCCAGCCCCCGCGUAAUGAAACCAUUUGAAUUUUUGUUGGCUUUUGUCUGAAUUAUAUAAAUAACAAUUGUUAAAACUUUCAACAACGGAUCUCUUGGUUCUCGCAUCGAUGAAGAACGCAGCGAAAUGCGAUAAGUAGUGUGAAUUGCAGAAUUCAGUGAAUCAUCGAAUCUUUGAACGCACAUUGCGCCUUCUGGUAUUCCGGGAGGCAUGCCUGUCUGAGCGUCUAGAGUCCCCGCUCAAGCUCUUUUGCUUGGUUGUGGAGGUUGAGCGUUGUCUGCGUGCUCGUUCACCUUUGAAAUUCAUCGGCGUACUUCUCCGUGUUCCAAUUAGCGUAAUAGGUUAACUCUUUCGCUUGGACUCGUGAAGCUGUCCCGUCGUAAUUACCCCCAUUACUUUUUGGACGACCUCAGAUCAGGUAGGGAUACCCGCUGAACUUAAGCAUAUCAAUAAGCGGAGGAAAAGAAAC
rnacentral:rRNA from 1 species